GACGAACGCUGGCGGCGUGCUUAACACAUGCAAGUCGAACGGAAAGGCCCUGCUUUUGUGGGGUGCUCGAUUGGCGAACGGGUGAGUAACACGUGAGUAACCUGCCCUUGACUUUGGGAUAACUUCAGGAAACUGGGGCUAAUACCGGAUAGGAGCUCCUGCUGCAUGGUGGUGGUUGGAAAGUUUCGGCGGUUGGGGAUGGACUCGCGGCUUAUCAGCUUGUUGGUGGGGUAGUGGCUUACCAAGGCUUUGACGGGUAGCCGGCCUGAGAGGGUGACCGGCGACAUGGGGACUGAGAGACGGAGCAGACUGCUACGGGAGGCAGCAGUGGGGAAUAUGGCACAAUGGGCGGAAGCCUGAUGCAGCAACGUCGCGAGCGGGAUGACCGCCUUCGGGUUGUAAACCGCUUUCGACUGAGACGAAGCGUGAGUGACGGUAACGGGUAAAGAAGCACCGGCUAACUACGUG
rnacentral:rRNA from 1 species